AAGAAGACAUUGGAUCUUAAUUGGGACUCUCUGGCCAGAUGGCAGAAGCAGGAAAAUCCUACAGAAUCAACUAAGAGAGAGGUGGAAGGUUUCCAUGAUCGUGGAGUUUAAUCGUCACGUUAUAGGUUUGAAUGUGCGUGACCAGCAGACAAAGUCUUCUUUGCAUUGAGGUCCUGGCCUUCAAGCUUUUGAAUUGCCUGUGACACAUAUAUUUAUAUUGUUACUAACACACGCACAUCCCCAGAGGUAGCUGGAGUGAAAAUUUCAUGAAACAAUGCUGUCUCAUAUUAAGGACUGAUACCAGUUUGAAGAGAAUGUGCCAAUGGUGACUAUGCUUGUAAUGGGAGUUGAUGCUACUGAUGUAGUUUCAGAAUGUAGGUGAGGCGGUGUCGGUGGGGUGAGGUCCAGAGCCGAAGGCCAAGAAAGAAUUCUUCAGACGUCUUUGGUGCAAAAUGGCGGUUUUAUUAAAGCUCCGGGACAGGACCCCUGGGCAGAAAGAGCUGCGGCCCGGCCCCGGGGUUGUGAGGGGUGGCUGAUUAUAUACUUGGGAGCUGGGGGCGGUAAGGAAAAGGGAGGUUUUCAAAAGAACUUUGUAUGCUAAAGAAGACUACAAGAUACUGGAGGCCUUGCCAUUGUCAAGUUAAGGUUGUUUUUCCCUCUAGGGAGGCAUUGACCUUGAGACAGCUGGGAGCUUCCUUCUGGAAGUUGGGUUAUUGGGCGGCCAGGAGUGCCCGAGGAAUGUCACACAUCCCCCACCUUGGGGAUGGGAGGGUAGUGAGGUAUCAGCUUAUGCUUCCUCCUCGGCCUGCCUUGGGCUCCCUCACCACUACCACGCACCAGGGCUUGCUUUAGGGCUGUAUGGCUCCUAGAGAUUCCCUCGGUGACUAAGCUACUAAGCUUCUGUCCCCUUAGUCUGUUCAGAUUGCUUUAAUGCAGUAUCAGGGACUGGGAGCCUCCUGCGCAACAGAGAUCUAGUUCUCCUGGUUCUGGAGGACGGGAAGCCGAAGAUCAAGGCACCGGCAGGUUCAGUGUCGGGCGAGCAUCCUUGUCUCUGUUCACGGGUGGAUGGCUGUCCUCCUGCGGUGUGUCUUCACCGGGCAGGAGCGGCAAGGGAGCCCUCCGUGGUUCUCUUUUAUAACAGCACUAAUUCCGCCUCCCAGGGCUGCACCCUCAUGACCUAAGUAACUCCCAGAGGCCCCACCUCCUACUACCAGCAUGUUCGGCAACAGGAUUGUACCUAUGACUUUUGGGAGGACACAAACCUUCAGUCUACGUAGCAACUAGAGAAUGAGCCGUGGAGUUUAUUAAAAUACAAAGGAUAAAUAUAACAGAUGUAAUUAUUAAU